UGCGCUAAAGUUAAACUGCAGGUUGGCGAUCAAUUUUUAGAAGUUUGUGGCAUAAAAAUGCGUAGUGCCACGUACUAGCUUACCGCCUGUGUCUUUCACCAAUGUGGAGAUUCCAUAACAAUGAUACUUCAGUACAAUCCUACAACGUAUCAAGAAUUACAGGAGGUGAACGGAAUGAAUUUAAUGGGGCCGCCUUCAGUGACAAGCUGGAGCAGCGAAUACGACGGCAAUGGUGGAAGGUCGCACCAGCUAUCCAAAUCGCGCUCAGGAUCACCUACACCAUGCAAUUCCCCCCGGCAUUCGCGAGAUCACAGCAACAAUAGUGGUAAUGGAAGCAGUCGAAAACUGACGCAAUUGAUCUAGUUUCGGCGUCGUUAUGGAACACCUCACAAUUUGAUCGGUUGAUCGAUCGUAGAAGUGAAUCUCUGUCUUCAAUAGUUCGACCUCCUUCAGUUCACGGCACUCUUACACGUCAUCAUGCUCUAGGGAACUGCGUCUUGUUCCUCUUGAGACGAAGAAAGUACACAGUCUUGGGAUUAGCUUGGUUGGUGGAAACGCAGUGGGAAUUUUCACUCACGCCGUCCAAAAGGAUUUAGGCCUACCAGCUUUUAAGGGUGAUUUGCGUUGUGGUGACCGAAUUCUUGAGUUCAACAGUGUUAACAUACGAGAUUAUACGUCUGAACAAGCGGCGUGCGAGCUAGCGAAACCCACUGAAAAGGUGACGCUCGUUGUUCAAUAUGACAUGGAGCGCUAUCGAGAAACUGCCGUGCAACCAGAUGAUAGUUUUUACGUUCGAGCUCAGUUUAUAUGAUGGCGUUCGACAGCCACGAACAAAUAGAACUCGGCUUCCGUCGAGACGAUGUUUUUCAUAUCAAUAAAGCCAUGUUUAAUGGCGUUCCAGGAUUAUGGAGAGCGUGGCUUGUUGAUAACAAUGUCACAAAGUCCUUUGCGGUGUCAUACCUUCCAAGUAUAAAAUUGAAGAACUUCUCCAACACUCAAGUCUAGCUGACUUAGAUCACUAAUCACGACGUUCUUCAACAUCAGCACGACGCAGUUUUUUCAGAAGGAAAAAGCAUACGCGUAGUUCAUCAAGAGAUUGAAAGGAGAUUGCAAGUUUUUCCGAUGCAAGUUUACAAUUAGGAUCGUCAGAGGGUUUAGGCCUCUCUUCUAUCUACCUCCCGGAAACUGUUCCUCCGCUUCCUGUUUCAUAUGCUUAGGUUAAAAGAUACGAUUGCAAAGAAACACGCCGCGUUAUAACAGUAGGGCCACUCUUGGAUUAUGUUGUUGACAAAAUCGUCAAAGCAUUUCCACGAAAUUUCGUUCGCGUAAUGCCAGUUAAUGCCUUACUCUGAAUCAUACAUGGAGAAAAACCUUGAUGAAAAAAAUUUCAUUGAAUAUCGACGAAAAGGAAGGCACUAUGAAUGCAUUACCGUAUGCACAGUUCAAAGUGUUGGCGAAAAGAACUUGCAUGGCGUUUUAGACGUUUAUUUAAAUGCCGUGUCGCGAUUGCAUAACCGACAUUGUUUACCGAUUAUUAUUCUUUUGAAGUUCAGCUAAACAUGUUCUUGAGAUUAAAGACACUCGCGUACCAUCCGACAAAACUGCAGCUAAAGCAGCAAAAGAAAUGUAUAAACAUGUUAUCGAAGUGGAAGCUAAGCAUCGUCAUCUCAUAUCGGGUGAUUCACAGUUUUUUUUAAAUUGCCCAUUGACUUCCAAGUUGCCAUGGAGACGUCUUGUAUUUGAAUGGUGCUACGAUUAACCCGUUCGUGUAUUGUCCUUCGUUCUACAGCCCUAAUACCAGAAGGUGACAAUUUGGCGUAUUUGCAUACGCACGUAUCUGCAGUAGUCGAACAGGAACAAACAAAAAUUAUGUGGGUGCCUCGCAGCUCAAUCUAGUGAAUUACCGUACAGCAUUUCAAUUUGUGAUGAGCAGCCUUCUCGGUUACUUACCGAUUUUUAACGUUGUUUUGCCUCUUGCUGGCUGACCUUCUUUCUUUGUACUUUUAUAGCUAUUUUGAUUGUGUGAAUUAUUUACCGACUUUUUCGCAUUUGAGCUAGAUUCAGCAAGCGCAUGUACAUUGUGUUGAUUAUAUAUUGGACAAUACAUUCAAGCAAUACUG